rnacentral:rRNA from 1 species
GAUGAACGCUGGCGGCGUGCCUAAUACAUGCAAGUCGAGCGAACAGACGAGGAGCUUGCUCCUCUGACGUUAGCGGCGGACGGGUGAGUAACACGUGGAUAACCUACCUAUAAGACUGGGAUAACUUCGGGAAACCGGAGCUAAUACCGGAUAAUAUAUUGAACCGCAUGGUUCAAUAGUGAAAGACGGUUUUGCUGUCACUUAUAGAUGGAUCCGCGCCGCAUUAGCUAGUUGGUAAGGUAACGGCUUACCAAGGCAACGAUGCGUAGCCGACCUGAGAGAGUGAGCGGCCACACUGGAACUGAGACACGGUCCAGACUCCUACGGGAGGCAGCAGUAGGGAAUCUUACGCAAUGGGCGAAAGCCUGACGGAGCAACGCCGCGUGAGUGAUGAAGGUCUUCGGAUCGUAAAACUCUGUUAUUAGGGAAGAACAAAUGUGUAAGUAACUAUGCACGUCUUGACGGUACCUAAUCAGAAAGCCACGGCUAACUACGUG